ACAUGCAACAAUGCAUAACAUGGCAAACUACAUACUUUUAUGAAAAUGAGACUCUGAAUAAACAUUUUCCGGGAAAACAUUUCAAAACAUUUUUACUCGUAAUGAUUACAACGUGCAUUUAUCCUGGGCUGAACAUAAAUAUUUAUUGAUAAAGACGUUUCAAACGAUUUAAUAAUUGUUAGCUUAGGACGAGUAACACAAUAAUGUUUAAUCAUAUAUGACAAAUGAAGAUCUGAUUAAACUGGCAUGUAUACAAAUCACUUCAACUUCUUUAAAUGACAAUAAUACAACAAUGAUCGAGUAACAUAGGCCAAGCACACUAAAAAUAGAUACACGCAAUUAUGUCGGAAUAAAGGUUGAAUCAUCACAAAGGACAUGUCUGGGAAUUAUUCACAUCAAGUGUACUGCAACGUGUCUUUGAACACAGACAAUUAAAGUAUGGUAGCGGAUGGAAAGAAAUCAACAACCACCUUUUCAGGGCCCCAGGAAACCUUCCCGCCUUAUCAUCCUCACUGGUGUGCCUCACGUGCAAGCAGAGACCGAGCAUCAUGUUACUGCUACCUUGCAGCCACCUGGCGGUUUGUGACCAGUGUGCACGGACCACCGAGACAUGUCCGCGAUGUACCCGGCCAGUCAUGUGCAUCAUUCGAACGUUUAUACUUUGACAGGUGUUUUAUUGCUCCUGAUAAGGAAACCAUUAAUGUAUAUGCAUUGCCCUGAAAUGAAUAUAUCUAGAACAAUAUGCCUUUUAUUAACUGCGUACACAACUCGUAUUUCUCUUAGCCUCGAGUGCCUAAAGGUCCUAACACCAAAAGUUAAAUUCCCAAUAAUUAAUCCCACCCAUUUAUUCCUGAUAAAAAAAUGUAUAACAUUAAAACAUUAACUUAAUAUAUCAGUUCAAUAUUGUGUAUUUUAUUAUUAUUAAUACAAGUAAUGUAUACUUAGACAGCAAGCACAUACCAGGGUGGAUGAUAUUGCUUAUAAUGUAUAUACAAUAUAUUAAAUGACAUCCAAUGCGCAUAUAGUUGAGUGUUUAUCUAUUUCUGUAUAUUGAGACACUCGAACUUAUGCUAACAUUCUGAUAUGCAUAUAUUCUUUUCGAAUAUUGUCUUGUUCCUUCUAAGCGAACUAUAUUUAACGGGGUACAUUAUGUCAUCAAUAUCUUGUACACUGUUUGCCAUAUAUGAUUCAUGUUAAUUAAUAUAAUGUACAAACAUAAAUAUCAGCAUAUAUACUAAACACGUAUAAGUGUAAACCUAACCUUAAGUAUAAAUGACCUAAUUCAGUAUAAUCACCCUAUGUAUCAUUGAACAAGUCGGCGUUUAUGUUUACCGUAUCAUAUAUGUAAUAUGAGAAGAUUUACUGCAUUGAUAUGAACAAAGAGUAGGA